rnacentral:tRNA from 1 species
GCGCGAGUGGCGGAAUUUGGCAGACGCGCAGGAUUCAGGUUCCUGUGUCCGGUAGGACGUGGGGGUUCAAGUCCCCCCUCGCGCA